GUGAGGGUGAUCUGGCUGUGGCUCCUAUCACUCGCUGGUUGCCACGGUAGAUUUGUCUGAUCUGGCUGACCCUCUCCCCUCUCUUUGGGUAUUCUGCUACAGUUGGAUUCCCGAAGGACAGCUUUUCCUAAUAAAAGAGGACGAUUCCUCUGUCAUAACUGUGUUCCCUGUGUAGGACCUCCAAAUAAGCUCACAUAGUCCAUUUGCAGGAGAAAGUGGAGUAGUAAAGCCUCCAAGAUUCCAGACACAUACAAAUGAGGUGCUACAGAUGGCAAUCUGCCUUGUUU
rnacentral:snRNA from 1 species